CCUACGGGAGGCAGCAGUGGGGAAUUUUGGACAAUGGGCGAAAGCCUGAUCCAGCCAUUCCGCGUGCAGGAUGAAGGCCCUCGGGUUGUAAACUGCUUUUGUACAGAACGAAAAGGUUUCUAUUAAUACUAGGAGCUCAUGACGGUACUGUAAGAAUAAGCACCGGCUAACUACGUGCCAGCAGCCGCGGUAAUACGUAGGGUGCAAGCGUUAAUCGGAAUUACUGGGCGUAAAGCGUGCGCAGGCGGUUAUAUAAGUCAGAUGUGAAAUCCCCGGGCUCAACCUGGGAACUGCAUUUGAGACUGUAUAGCUAGAGUACGGUAGAGGGGGAUGGAAUUCCGCGUGUAGCAGUGAAAUGCGUAGAUAUGCGGAGGAACACCGACUGGCGAAGGCGAAUACCCCUCGGACCUGUACUGACGCUCAUGCACGAAAGACGUGGGGAGGCAAACAGGAUUAGAUACCUGGUAGUCCACGCCCUAAACGAAUGUCAACUGGUUGUUGGGUCGUUAACUGACUCAGUAACGAAGCUAACGACGUGAAGUUGACCGCCUCGGGGAGGUACGGCCGCGAAGGUUGAAACGUACAAAUAGAAUUGACGG
rnacentral:rRNA from 1 species